GGCACUUUAGCUCAGUUGGUUAAGAUGACACACAGCUAUAAAACUGUGGAGGCUCAGGGUUUGAAUCCCGGAGCUGUCA